rnacentral:rRNA from 1 species
UACGGAGGGGGCUAGCGUUGUUCGGAAUUACUGGGCGUAAAGCGCGCGUAGGCGGACCUGCAAGUCAGGGGUGAAAUCCUGGAGCUCAACUCCAGAACUGCCUUUGAUACUGGCGAUCUUGAGUCCGGGAGAGGUGAGUGGAACUGCGAGUGUAGAGGUGAAAUUCGUAGAUAUUCGGAAGAACACCAGUGGCGAAGGCGACUGACUGGACAAGUAUUGACGCUGAGGUGCGAAAGCGUGGGGAGCAAACAGG